rnacentral:tRNA from 1 species
GAGGGUGUAGCUCAGUGUGUAGAGCAUGUGCUUAGCACGCACGAGGUCCUGGGUUCAGUCCGAAGCACCUCCG